UGGGGAAUUUUGGACAAUGGGCGAAAGCCUGAUCCAGCAAUGCCGCGUGUGUGAAGAAGGCCUUCGGGUUGUAAAGCACUUUUGUCCGGAAAGAAAUCCUUGGCUCUAAUACAGUCGGGGGAUGACGGUACCGGAAGAAUAAGCACCGGCUAACUACGUGCCAGCAGCCGCGGUAAUACGUAGGGUGCAAGCGUUAAUCGGAAUUACUGGGCGUAAAGCGUGCGCAGGCGGUUUGCUAAGACCGAUGUGAAAUCCCCGGGCUCAACCUGGGAACUGCAUUGGUGACUGGCAGGCUAGAGUAUGGCAGAGGGGGGUAGAAUUCCACGUGUAGCAGUGAAAUGCGUAGAGAUGUGGAGGAAUACCGAUGGCGAAGGCAGCCCCCUGGGCCAAGUACUGACGCUCAUGCACGAAAGCGUGGGGAGCAAAACAGGAUUAGAUACCCUGGUAGUCCACGCCCUAAAACGAUGUCAACUAGUUGUUGGGGAUUCAUUUCCUUAGUAACGUAGCUAACGCGUGAAGUUGACCGCCUGGGGAGUACGGUCGCAAGAUUAAAACUCAAAGGAAUUGACGGGGUCAUAGCUGUUUCCU
rnacentral:rRNA from 1 species